rnacentral:rRNA from 1 species
GGACUACCGGGGUAUCUAAUCCUGUUUGCUCCCCACGCUUUCGCGUCUCAGCGUCAGUUGUCUUCCAGAUGGCCGCCUUCGCCACAGGUGUUCCUCCCGAUAUCUACGAAUUUCACCUCUACACCGGGAAUUCCGCCAUCCCCUCCGACACUCUAGCCUGCCAGUAUCAGAUGCAGUUCCUCGGUUAAGCCGAGGGCUUUCACAUCUGACUUAACAGACCGCCUACACGCGCUUUACGCCCAGUAAUUCCGAACAACGCUUGCACCCUCUGUAUUACCGCGGCUGCUGGCAC